AGAUAGGGUAGAGGCAGAAGUAGACGCAAUUAAACAUGAAGGAUUGUGAAGGCAAAAGAUGAACCAGCCAGCCUAGUCUCUGGAUGCAUAAGCUCCAAGUGUGGAGGAGACCCGGAGAGAAAAGCAGACUGUUCUCUGUGUUUACCUGUAAGCACAGGCCGCAACCUGCCAUGCUGUUUUUAAAUGCCCAAGAGCUGGUGACAAGAGGGUUUCCCUUUGCCAUCUGGACCUGAUUGCCUUAGAGGUAAAGAUUCAAUACCCUUAAGAAGUUAGAUUCUAAAAGAUUAUAAAUUGGUGCCACUGCUUUUGAUUGCAAUUGAUCAAUUUCCGGAUAGAGAUUGCACAAUCCAUGAAGACACACAACACUCUCAGAAGUCACUGCUCCAUGCUGUGCCCCUCAUCCCUGCCUGGGAGCUCGGUAUCUCUGCCUCCCACCUUGCUAACCAGCACCUCUGCCUUCACUCAGAGCGCUCAGGACAUAGCUGUAAGCCACUCAAAAACAGUUCUUGAAAUCUCAAGUUCAAUACUGGCCUCCUAAAUCCUAGCAAUUCCCAGAGGAGUGAGAGGUGGGAGGUGGCAAGGAUG
rnacentral:lncRNA from 1 species